rnacentral:lncRNA from 1 species
UAAGAUUGAAUCUGAUGUGACGGUUUUCUUUAAUAGUAUAAAUAAAUAAAUAAUUAUAAAGUGAGCUUCUUUGAAACUGAAAUUUUAGAGCAAUGAGGCUUGUAUUUUUUAGGCGAAAGUGUAAUCUCCACGACAUGUUUAAAGUAUAUAAAGGCCUUGAGUCUUUUGAGAAAGACUUCGCUUAUGCAAACUUUGGGGAAUCAUCACUUCAUUCUUUGAGUUUCUUGCCUUUUUGGUGUUUGUCUCAUCUUCUUCCAAAGUUCAUCAAUUUCCUUCUUUUUUUCUUGGUAAGUUUUUUUUGUUGCAUUUUUGCCCAUUGCAAAUUUUGUUUUUAGGAAAGCUUACGUCUUUUACUUGUUUGUUUCCUCGCUUUUUGUCAUACUUUAUAAUCAACCAUUAAAAGAUGACUUCCUAGCUAUUAGCGACGGUAUUUCGUGUACAACCGUGAAGGAGUAUAUGCUAUGGGCUCUUCAAUUUAGGAGGAUUAGGGAUCCCUAUGAUAAAAUAGAUUCGUCGUUAGAGACGUCAUUCAUCUAUUGAGCAACAUCGUAGACAAUGAAAAGAGUAUUUUUCUGCUAUUAUACAUCUUUAAGCUGGAUUUUCAUUUGCAUCUGCACCUAUCGUUCGUAAAGGCAUUCAAUUCUUUUGGCAUAGCCCUAAGGCAAUUGGUUGAGAGUUCAAGGUUCCACUUGGCGGCAUUCUUCCUAGAUUGCCACAAUAGUGGGAAGGAGCCCUGCUUGAGUAGCUUUUGGAACCUAAACUUCCUCCGAUUCUCUCACAAAAUAAGCCAACAAUGACUAUUAUUUCCAACAAUACAAGAAUGUGGGCUUGCCAAUUUUUGAUAAACCAAACAACUAGUACCAAAAUAAAGGUCAAUUUAUCUUUUUAGAGGAUAAAAUGGGCGUCUUUCCUUUUUCUUACACUGUGGAAGGAACUUGGUCGGAAAUUGAGCGUGGUUCCCAACUUGGAAGAUGACAAUACUAUGGGUUAGUAUGAUCAUUACAAACAGGGUCUUGUUUUGCCCUCACCAGUCUGCUAAAGUUGAAUCUUAUUUGGUGCAUUGCCUAAAGAAAAUGAGCCCAAAUGGUGUGGCUCUAUUUGUCAUUGAUAGCUUUAGGGAUAAGUUGGACAUAUAUAGGUGCGAUUCAUACAGUCUAAGGGUGGGCCACUGAGAACCACAAAUGAAAUUGGUAAAAUGAGUAUAAGCACGCUGAAGAGGCUUGAAGGAUUUUUUUUAGUUCUCCUUUGUGGUUGUCCCAAGAGGAAGGCUUCCAAUAAAUGAAAUGAAGUUAUAACCUUAUCUACGCAAGUUCCAAAAAGCAUAAGGUUGCUGAUCUUACCUCCCCAAGUUUCUAAAAAGCAAAAGGUGGCUUGCCCAAUGCAAUCUAACACCGGUAUUGGCAUUCCCCAAAAUAAGGAGGUUUGCCAAGCAUUAAGUGGUGUUUCUAUUAAUGUUCUCUACAAUGAGGAAAAUGAUGACUUAGACCGGGAAAUUGACAAUUAUACGAGCCCCAAAUCAAUGCCUUGUAUGAUUGUGGAGAGUUUAGGUCCUUUGGUUGUCAAAUAAUCUUUUAAGAUUGAGGAUUCUGGUUUGUAAUGACACUAUCAUCAGUAUGAUCUUGAUUGAGCUUUGUUUUCUAUGUACUUACGACUUUGUGAAUUUUUUGCAGAUACGUUAGCUAGCAGGUUUGACUGGUAUAACUUUCUCCAAGAGUUGGAUAGAGAGGACGCCCUAUCCAUAAAAAGGCAAAAUGUUGGUGGUGGGGUUGACAUUGCUGCCAUGCAAUCAAGACAACGCCAACUCCUACUCUAACAACCACUCUAAUGGUUGUUGUUAUGUUAACUGUUGCAGCCCCUCAUGCCCUUACUAUGCUUAUUUCAACUAUGCUUAUUUCUUUAUCACUGUUCCUUAUGCCCUACACUAGCUAUUGACACUCCUCCUUCAACUAUGCUUAUUUCUCUAUCAUUGUCCCUUGUGACUGUCUUUGCGACGAACCAACUUGGAGGCGCUACUAAUGAUACUGCUUCCACAGAGGCCUUUUCUGUAGUUUAAGGGUCAUAAUGUUAAAAAGAAGAUACGGAGGUUCAGAAAAAGUCAUUUUGUGAUGUCUCCAUCAGGAGUAUUCCCAUGACGUAGUCAUUUGUUUAUUGAUAAGUUUCCACGAAUUUUCCAUAUUUAGUUAUUUAGGGAAACCAUUAAACAAAAGUGUUAAAAUGUGAACAUGAUUAAAAAGAGCAGCUUGAGUAAAAAAAAGUUAACGAGUCAAUUUUAUUCUUGAAUACUUGAUGUGAAGAAUUUAUUGUUGCAUUUACUAAAUUUGUUGAUUUAAAUUGUCUCGAAUUGCGUUGUACGCCGAUUGUAUGCUUAUAAUUUAGUUAUUGUAUAUGG